ensembl:snoRNA LOC120103341 small nucleolar RNA SNORA17
CCUGCCCCUAAAGGGCACAUGUAUGUAAGUAGGUGGCAGAAAGGAGAGAGGUUAUGCCUAUACUCAGUGUUCUGACCGAUUAGAAUGAUUAGAAUGAUUAGAAGCCUAAGUCG